GCUGUCGGGGCGCUUAGCGUUUCGGUGGCGCAGCUAACGCGAUAAGUCAUCCGCCUGGGGAGUACGGCCGCAAGGUUAAAACUCAAAGAAAUUGACGGGGGCCUGCACAAGCGGCGGAGCAUGUGGUUUAAUUCGAAGCAACGCGCAGAACCUUACCAGCGUUUGACAUGGUAGGACGGUUUCUGGAGACAGAUUCCUUCCCUUACGGGACCUACACACAGGUGCUGCAUGGCUGUCGUCAGCUCGUGUCGUGAGAUGUUGGGUUAAGUCCCGCAACGAGCGCAACCCUCGUCUUUAGUUGCCAGCAUUUAGUUGGGCACUCUAAAGAAACUGCCGGUGAUAAGCCGGAGGAAGGUGGGGAUGACGUCAAGUCCUCAUGGCCCUUACGCGCUGGGCUACACACGUGCUACAAUGGCGGUGACAGAGGGCCGCAAACCCGCGAGGGUGAGCUAAUCUCCAAAAGCCGUCUCAGUUCGGAUUGUUCUCUGCAACUCGAGAGCAUGAAGGCGGAAUCGCUAGUAAUCGCGGAUCAGCACGCCGCGGUGAAUACGUUCCCAGGCCUUGUACACACCGCC
rnacentral:rRNA from 1 species